UACGUGGGGGGCAAGCGUUGUUCGGAAUUACUGGGCGUAAAGGGCUCGUAGGCGGUCAACUAAGUCAGACGUGAAAUCCCUCGGCUUAACCGGGGAACUGCAUCUGAUACUGGAUGGCUUGAGAUUGGGAGAGGGAUGCGGAAUUCCAGGUGUAGCGGUGAAAUGCGUAGAUAUCUGGAGGAACACCGGUGGCGAGGGCGGCAUCCUGGACCAACACUGACGCUGAGGAGCGAAAGCCAGGGGAGCAAACGGG
rnacentral:rRNA from 1 species